UACGGGGGGAGCAAGCGUUGUUCGGAUUUACUGGGCGUAAAGGGCGCGUAGGCGGCGCAACAAGUCACUUGUGAAAUCUCCGGGCUUAACCCGGAGCGGCCAAGUGAUACUGUCGUGCUAGAGUGCGGAAGGGGCUACUGGAAUUCUCGGUGUAGCGGUGAAAUGCGCAGAUAUCAGGAGGGACACCGAUUGCGAAGGCAGCUCGCUGGGACGUUACUGACGCUGAGACGCGAAAGCGUGGGGAGCAAACAGG
rnacentral:rRNA from 1 species